GAUGUAUUAUCAAUAGGUGCUGUAUUUUCAAUUACUGCAAGAUUUAUUCAUUGAUUUCCUUUAUUUUUAGAAUUAUUAAUAAAUCAAAAAUGAUUAAAAUUUCAAUUUUUUUUUUUUUUUAUUCGUCCUAAAUUUGACAUUUUUUGCACAAC